GGACAGUGUUCUCUUUGCACACAGCACCUGGUUAAAUGUGUCUACAGAGACACCUCAUGCAGGAAUCUUCAAGACUUGACCACCACAGUUCUUGGUACCUGGUGUCACUCUGAUGAAGGCCCCAGGACCAAACAUAGGAUGAUAUAGAGAAACUGCCAGAAGGAUUGAAAUGUAGCUUGUACCCCACCAAACUGAGCAGUUGCCAGGGAAGAUAGAAUUGAAUCUGAAGGGUUUAAAGAAACUCACCAGAAAAUUUAAAGACAAGCAGCAGGAGCAAAUGUGUUUAUUCUGGAAAAUUAAAAUACUG
rnacentral:lncRNA from 1 species